rnacentral:rRNA from 1 species
GACGAGGGGUCCUAGCGUUGUUCGGAAGCACUGGGCGUAAAGCGUAUGUAGGCGGCUUUUCAAGUCAGGUGUGAAAUCCCACGGCUUAACCGUGGAACUGCAUUUGAAACUGUAAAGCUUGAGUAUUGGAGAGGAUGGUAGAAUUCCUGGUGUAGUGGUGAAAUACGUAGAUAUCAGGAGGAAUACCGGUGGCGGAGGCGGCCAUCUGGCCAAAUACUGACGCUGAGAUACGAAAGUGUGGGGAUCAAACAGG